rnacentral:tRNA from 1 species
GCCGAAGGUGGGAGUCGAACCCGCAGCGGACUCAAAAUCCGCCGUGGUUCACCCCACAUGUGGGUUCGACUCCCACCUUCGGCACCA